rnacentral:rRNA from 1 species
GCAGAACGCGAAGAACCUUACCAGGUCUUGACAUCCCAUUGACCGCACCUUAACCGGUGCUUUCCUUCGGGACAAUGGUGACAGGUGGUGCAUGGUUGUCGUCAGCUCGUGUCGUGAGAUGUUGGGUUAAGUCCCGCAACGAGCGCAACCCCUAUCUUUAGUAGCCAGCAGUUCGGCUGGGCACUCUAGAGAGACUGCCAGGGAUAACCUGGAGGAAGGCGGGGAUGACGUCAAAUCAUCAUGCCCCUUAUGAUCUGGGCUACACACGUGCUACAAUGGUGACUACAAAGAGAAGCAAAGCUGUGAAGUGGAGCAAAUCUCAAAAGGUCAUCUCAGUUCGGAUUGUAGUCCGCAACUCGACUACAUGAAGCUGGAAUCGCUAGUAAUCGCAGAUCAGAAUGCUGUGGUGAAUACGUUCCCGGGUCUUGUACACACCG